rnacentral:rRNA from 1 species
ACGGAGGGUGCAAGCGUUAAUCGGAAUUACUGGGCGUAAAGCGCACGCAGGCGGUCUGUCAAGUCGGAUGUGAAAUCCCCGGGCUCAACCUGGGAACUGCAUUCGAAACUGGCAGGCUAGAGUCUUGUAGAGGGGGGUAGAAUUCCAGGUGUAGCGGUGAAAUGCGUAGAGAUCUGGAGGAAUACCGGUGGCGAAGGCGGCAUCCUGGACCGGUAUUGACGCUGAGGCGCGAAAGCCAGGGGAGCAAACAGGA